rnacentral:rRNA from 1 species
UGUGCAGGUGGGGUAAUAAGUCAGUGGUGAAAGCCCCCGACUCAAUCGGGGAACUGCCAUAGAUACUGUUAUUCUUGAGUGUGGUUGAGGCGGAUGGAAUAUGACAUGUAGCGGUGAAAUGCUUAGAUAUGUCAUAGAACACCGAUCGCGAAGGCAGUCCGCCAAACCAUUACUGACACUGAAACACGAAAGUGCGGGGAUCAAACAGGAUUAGAUACCCUGGUAGUCCGCACCGUAAACGAUGAUCACUCGUUGUUGGCGAUACACAGUCAGCGACUAAGCGAAAGCAUUAAGUGAUCCACCUGGGAAGUACGACCGCAAGGUUGAA